GCCGCCGCUCGAACCUUUGACCACGGCGGCUGUCAGAAGGUUGGUCCUAAGGUAGCAAAAUUCCUUGACAGGUAAGUUCCGUCCAGCAUGAGCGGUGUAACGACUUCCUCACUGUCACUAGCCUGGUCUCUCAGAAAUUGAGUCAUCCUUGUUUACGAGGAAGCCAACGGCCAGACGGUAAGACCCUGAGCACCUUUCCUUCUUUCACCACCGGUUACAAGCGCUAGCCGCGGUGGUGAGAAUAGGUGCUCGAGGUCUCUCCGCCGGCGGCCGUCAACCGCACACCUCGAGAGCCUUCUAUGUUACAGGAACUCCAACAAACGUCCAACCUCAACCACAAACUUUCAUUUUCCAGACGUGGUUGAUGGACGGUUGGCCGGGAGUUUC
rnacentral:rRNA from 10 species